rnacentral:rRNA from 1 species
UACGUAGGGUGCAAGCGUUGUCCGGAAUUAUUGGGCGUAAAGAGCUCGUAGGCGGUUUGUCGCGUCCGCUGUGAAAACUCAGGGCUUAACCCUGAGCCUGCAGUGGGUACGGGCAGACUAGAGUGUGGUAGGGGAGAUCGGAAUUCCUGGUGUAGCGGUGGAAUGCGCAGAUAUCAGGAGGAACACCGGUGGCGAAGGCGGAUCUCUGGGCCAUAACUGACGCUGAGGAGCGAAGGCCAGGGGAGCAAACGGG